AGCGAGGCUGUGAAGCGGAGCAAAUCUCAAAAACCGGUCCCAGUUCGGAUUGUGGGCUGCAACUCGCCUACAUGAAGUCGGAGUUGCUAGUAAUCGCGGAUCAGAAUGCCGCGGUGAAUGCGUUCCCGGGCCUUGUACACACCGCCCGUCACACCAUGAGAGUCGAUAACACCCGAAGCCUGUGAGCUAACCUUUUAGGAGGCAGCAGUCGAAGGUGGGGUUGAUGAUUGGGGUGAAGUCGUAACAAGGUAGC
rnacentral:rRNA from 1 species